rnacentral:rRNA from 1 species
UACGGAGGAUGCGAGCGUUAUCCGGAUUUAUUGGGUUUAAAGGGUGCGUAGGCGGACUGUCAAGUCAGCGGUAAAAUUGAGAGGCUCAACCUCUUCCCGCCGUUGAAACUGGUGGUCUUGAGUGGAUGAGAAGUACGCGGAAUGCGUGGUGUAGCGGUGAAAUGCUUAGAUAUCACGCAGAACUCCGAUUGCGAAGGCAGCGUACCGGCAUCCAACUGACGCUGAGGCACGAAAGCGUGGGGAUCAAAAAGG